CCCACCCCCAGCAAGGCAGAGGCCAAGCACAGCAGAAACCCAACUCGGCAAAAGCUCCAGUGGUGGAAGGUGAACACGAAGAAUACCCAGUACAGUGGAUGUGACUAGAAGCCCAGUGUGCUGGAAACUGAGACAGCAAAAAAAACUUGGCAGCAAGCUCACACAGCUCAGUCUCAGAUUCCAGAAGACCUCCGGAUAAGGGGACAUGGGCUCCAUCCCUGGUCAGGGAAGAUCCCACAUGAUGUGGGGCAACUAAACCUGCGCACCACAACUGCUGAAGCCCGCACACCUAGAGCCUGUGCUCCACAGCGAGAGAAACCACGGCGCUGAGAAGUCCAUGCACCAUAAGGAAGAGUAGCCCUGCUUACGGCAACUGGAGAAAGCCCGCAUGCAGGAUAAAAACCAGUGCAGCCAAAAGUUACUUUCUCAUGUCUCUACACUUACCAUGAGUGGAUCAGAGAAAUAAAAAUAGUGCCAAUAAGAUAAUAACAAGAAGCGGAAGAGGAGUGUCGAGACCAGUUCGACAAGCAGGGUUUCUGAAAGCGUGAUACCGCAAGAGAAUGAGAACACAAGAAUUCAGAGAAAGGCGAGGACCGGGGACCAACACCGCUCCAAGGUGAAGGCGCCGAAACUGAAUCCAAG
ensembl:lncRNA